rnacentral:lncRNA from 1 species
ACAAAUGAGUCUUAGGUUAACUCGAGUCUGGCAGAGUACUUCUUUUGGAAGAAGCAGGGAUACUAGAAGAGGAAUUGUCCUCUGCAUCUUAUUUUUCAUGACCCAACAGGCUAAGGAAGAAAAAUUAGCAAAUAAUUGCUGGACAUGGUGUUUAUAUGAUAACACCUUGUGAUUUCUCUGUCUGUGAUACUACUACCUAGAUAUUAGAUACCAGAAGUCUAAUUUAAAUAUGUAAUUUAUUGCGGAGACUUUAGGUUAGUA